CGCUGCGCCGCGCUCGGCCCGAGCUGUUUGUAAAUUACAUUAGCGGCGCCUUUAUUGCACCCGAACCUCGGGCGACUGAAAAGCCACCGCCCCCACCCCAAACUGAGAGCCGAGCUCUGGGCGCACCCGCCUCCCACAGGCCUGGUUGCGAUGGCAGCGCCAGCCCGGAGGUCUCAGGCUCUCCAACCCGGGAUUUGGAGUCUGAGAAGGGUGGCGGGAACCCCAACCAGGGAGGGACGUGGCCGCGGCGCGGGUCAGGAAUGAUUCCCCAUCACGUGUUGGGCCCAGAAGCAGAGAGGAAGAACAGACAGAAGAUGGGGAAUGAAGGACAGUGAGUCCUGGACCAAGACCCUCGCACUGGCUCCGCUGCCUCUCCAGUCCCGGGCCGGCGCGAGGAGGCCCCCAGCCCUGUCCUCACGGUAUCCUGCGCCGCCAGACCUGAAGCCAUCAGUGAGGCAGCUCCCCUCUGCCCUCUGCCCCAAUCUUUCUCCUUUUGCUGAUGCCUCUUCUUCCUCUUCAUCUUCCUCUACGCAUUUCUUAUUCGUUUUUCUUCGCUGGGUGAGGUAUGGAGGGCCGCAGCCCUGGCCCCUGGAGAAGGCAGGAAUUUACUCUGCCGCUGUUGGCACUGGCUUCGACGUCAGCCAAAUCUCCAUCCCGGGAUUUCAAGAGGCUCAGGAGUGCAGCUCAGGUGUCUUUGGAGAUGCAGAUGAGGUGGACUGAUGGCACCUUGACCUCAAACAGCUCGACCUCUGGCUGGCUGUGUGAUUUUGGUGCCAGGCAUUCGACUCCUUCUCUCCAGUUCUCACCGUCUUUAUUUUGCAGAAGAGGAAACAUUGAAGGUCUCAUCGCUCUAACCAGGCAUUCGAACCCAGAUCCGGUUCGGAGCGUCUCGAUUUUAAACCUCUCAGUCUCACCUUGGACCCGGGACCAACUAAGUGGAGAGGAGUUGGGUUGAAUUCUCAAGCGUUCGUCCCCCGCCCCUCCCGGCUCUGGGAAAGGUUUGAAAUUUUUAUUUAUUCGGGUUAACGAUUUUGGCGGCGCCUAAAGAAGGAUGAAAGUAAGACCAAGGAGGGACCCAAGUUCCGGGAGUGCCCCUAGGGAGGCGGCAGCAGCAGGGCUGAAUUCAAAUCCCUCCUGGAUUUGUCCUCUUUGGAGUCCGUCCUAGUCUGUCUGAUCUGUGGGGCCUAUUUUCGGACAGUCCUGGACAGAGAAGAAGAAACCGAAGCAGAUGGCUUGCCCAGAUGAUUCCCCCACUAUUCCUCCCUCUCCAGGGGCUCCUCUCUGAAGUUGGAUCUCCCUAGCUGGAGAGGUGGGGUUGGCUGUUUGGGAUCAGAAUGGAAGCAUGAGCCUAGGAACCUCCGGGUGGGCAGGGAGGGACUGGAGUCCGGCUCCCCGACGACCAGGUACCCAGCCCCAGUCGCGGGUUCGCUCUGUGGCAGCCCCGACAGGCCACGCGUACCUCACCACAAGUCCCAUUACGUUGUAUUUAUGCUUCAGUUUAUUGUUUCUUCCCCCUCUCUUAUUAUGGUCUCACUCUGGGGGAGGCAAAGGAUAUAAUAUAUUCAUCUUUAUUAUACCAAAUCUGUGUGAAGCAUUUAAUAAAAUGCUGU